UACAGAGGUCUCAAGCGUUGUUCGGAUUCAUUGGGCGUAAAGGGUGCGUAGGCGGCGCGGUAAGUCGGGUGUGAAAUCUCGGAGCUUAACUCCGAAACUGCAUUCGAUACUGCCGUGCUUGAGGACUGGAGAGGAGACUGGAAUUUACGGUGUAGCGGUGAAAUGCGUAGAUAUCUGGAGGAACACCGGUGGCGAAGGCGGCAUCCUGGACCGGUAUUGACACUGAGGCGCGAAAGCCAGGGGAGCAAACGGG
rnacentral:rRNA from 1 species